CAUACGCUAAUGACAUCAGUCAUCUGAAGGAAGCUAGCGGCUGACAUCACUUCUAUGACGUUCUGACCAGUGAGAGAGAGUUUGCCGGAAUAGACGAAGUCCAGGAUAACCGUAAAAGUGUCAGGGGAGAAGGCCUGAAAAGUAGCUGUGGUUGGCUGACUUGUCUCCUUUGAAUUCUGAGAAAGGAGCAUUUUGAAGUAGCCGCUGCUAGCAAAUAAUACAUUUCGAUGCGCUUUGAAGACCUUCCCCUCAACCAGAAUGCUGCAAUCACAAAAGACAUCUUGCCUGCGCUGCUCAUUCAGUUGCUGCAGGAGGUGGGACUGAUGAGAGGAGAUCUCCAUUCUGGAGAGGAAAAGACACGUGGUUACCAAACCGAAGUGACACGCCUUUUCCAAGCAGAGUCAACCGAAAUAACCAUCAGAAACCGCCCUUAUUUCCACUGACACCACUUUCUUCUCAGAGAAUAUAAGACUCCAAGACACAGAGAAUCACUUAGUACUAUACUAUUAUGUGAUUUUUGGACAAUUAUUUGUUCAGUCACCAACCUUUACUGAGCAUCUUCUAUGAAUCAGGUCUUCUGCUAUGUGCCCUCCUUGAUACCCAUCACCCAUCUAGACAUCCCUCACCCACCUCCCUCCGGCAACCCUGUUUGUUCUCUAUCGUUAAAAGUCUCUUAUGGCUUGUCUCCCUCUCUCCUUUUUUUCUUUUCCCCCUUAAAAUAUAACCAAACGUUUUAAAUGUAUGGCUGGGCUUGCAAGAAAAUGAGAAAUCCCUAGAUGCCGGCAGUGGAGAAGGAGCAGAGGCGGAGCGGUAAUAUGGCUUCAGGUUUUUAUCUGUAACAAGCUGGAAGCCUCUAAGGACAACCUUAAUGAAGAAAGACUAGUAAACUUUGCCCAUAAAUCCCGGGAAAAAACAAAGUUUGUCUUUGCGGGGCUUUCGUUGGGGAAAGAAAAAAAAGUACCUAGUUUAAUUUCCAGACCCAGCCAGGAAGAAGGUCAAGGAAAAAUUUUCCUCCCCUACCGCUGGAAUGCCCCAAGCCUCAGGGCUCAGACCUCUUCUCUACUUAACACCAUUCCCUAGUUCUUAGGUUUGGGAGAUACUGAUUCAACUCAUCACUCCAGACGCCAAGCUGUGACCAGACUUGACAAAUCAGAGCACUGCAUUCCCAUGGCCAGUUACUGGCUUGGGGAUGGACACACCAAACAAGGCAAGCAAAGGAGGUUCAAUUAAAGUGAACCUAGCACUUUUAUUGGAGCAACUGGAAAAGAAGAGGACUCCUUUGAGGAUGUAAGCCUGGACCUAUCUAUUAUGGAUGCACUACCACCAUGACAGAGCCUACAUGAGAAAGGACCAACCCUGAGGAAAGCAGAGAGGAGAAACAGAGGAAGACCAGAUCCUAUUGACAUCAUUUUGUUCCCUAGGAUACGGAAAAUGGGACUCAGAGAACCAGAGGAAGAGGGAAACUUCCCGCUCUACCUCUCCCCCUUGCUGGUGGUUGCCGGAUAGCAGCAGGCCGGCAUGACUGUGGACUAUAGCAGCUCAGGCAGAUGCAGAAUCUUUCUGGUGGUUCCAGCUCUGAUCAAAGUGGUACCUCUUCAGCGGAUCCAGGACUGGCUGUGUCUCCAAAAGUGCAGCAGGAGGGUGAAGUCCUAUUGAAGGCAACACUUUGGGUGACCGAGGGGCUGCCGUAUUUGACCAUGAUGUUUAUAAUGAUGACUACAAGGACUCAUCCUCAUCAAGUGAGCUGCUUCUGACUGUACUGGGGCACUUACAGAAAGGAACCUCUAUGAAGCCACAGGAUGGACAGAGCUAAAACUUAGACACUAAAUGUAAUUGUGCAGGUUGUAAAAUUACAACAUAAGUU